rnacentral:tRNA from 1 species
GUAGCUCAACGGCAGAGCACCGGACUUUUAAUCCGGUGGUUGUGGGUUCAAGUCCCACGUCA